UACGGAGGGUGCAAGCGUUAAUCGGAAUCACUGGGCGUAAAGCGCACGUAGGCUGUUGUGUAAGUCAGACGUGAAAUCCCUUGGCUUAACUGAGGAACUGCGUUUGAAACUGCAUGACUUGAGUGCUGGAGAGGGUGGCGGAAUUCCCGGUGUAGGAGUGAAAUCCGUAGAUAUCGGGAGGAACACCAGUGGCGAAGGCGGCCACCUGGACAGACACUGACGCUGAGGUGCGAAAGCGUGGGUAG
rnacentral:rRNA from 1 species